GACGAACGCUGGCGGCGUGCCUAACACAUGCAAGUCGAACGAGGUCCAUGCAGUGGCAACACUGCGGAAGACCUAGUGGCGAACGGGUGAGUAACACGUGAGGAACCUGCCCCGAAGACUGGGAUAACCCUCCGAAAGGAGAGCUAAUACCGGAUACCCCCACCGGAUCGCAUGAUCUGGUGAGGAAAUGGAUUCCGCUUCGGGAGGGCCUCGCGGCCUAUCAGCUAGUUGGUGGGGUAACGGCCCACCAAGGCAUCGACGGGUAGCUGGUCUGAGAGGACGAUCAGCCACACUGGGACUGAGACACGGCCCAGACUCCUACGGGAGGCAGCAGUGGGGAAUCUUGCGCAAUGGGCGAAAGCCUGACGCAGCAACGCCGCGUGGGGGAUGAAGGCUCUCGGGUUGUAAACCCCUUUCAGCAGGGACGAAUCAAGACGGUACCUGCAGAAGAAGCCCCGGCUAACUACGUGCCAGCCGCCGCGGUAAAAC
rnacentral:rRNA from 1 species